UACGUAGGAUGCUAGCGUUGUCCGGAUUUACUGGGUGUAAAGGGAGCGCAGGCGGGUCGGUAAGUCAGUGGUGAAAUUCUCAGGCUUAACCUGAGGACUGCCACCGAAACUGCCGAUCUUGAGUGCAGAAGAGGUUGAUGGAAUUCUUGGUGUAGCGGUGAAAUGCGUAGAUAUCAAGAAGAACACCGAUGGCGAAGGCAGUCAACUGGUCUGCUACUGACGCUCAUGCUCGAAAGCGUGGGGAU
rnacentral:rRNA from 1 species